rnacentral:rRNA from 1 species
AGGAGAAGUCGUAACAAGGUUUCCGUAGGUGAACCUGCGGAAGGAUCAUUGAAUUAUUAAAACCACAACGUGAACUCUGUUGUACCGUGCCUUUGCUGCCAGCAGGGCAAUCGGGCUAGUCUCGAUUGUAGCCUGCAGCUGGUGCGAGCAUUGCUGCCCGCAUCAGUGGCGCUCUGGCAUGCCUAUACACCAGGCUAACCACUGUCAAAACCAAACUCUGAAGUUUUGAUUGCUAGUAACUGGCAAUCCUAACCAAAGACAACUCUCAACAACGGAUAUCUUGGCUCUCGCAACGAUGAAGAACGCAGCGAAAUGCGAUACGUAGUGUGAAUUGCAGAAUUCCGUGAACCAUCGAAUCUUUGAACGCAUAUUGCGCUCGAGCCCUCGGGCAAGAGCAUGUCUGCCUCAGCGUCGGUUUACACCCUCACCCCUCUUUCCUUUUGGAUCGCAGGUCAGCUUUUCAGCUGGCCCUAGGGGUGGAUCUGGCUUUCCCAAUCCUUUCUGGGUUGGGUUGGCUGAAGUGUAGAGGCUUAAUCAAGGACCCGAUAUGGGCUUCAACUGGAUAGGUAGCAACGGCUUCUGCCGACUACACGAAGUUGUGGCUUGUGGACUUUGAUAGGAGCCAAGCAGGAAACGUGCUUGCACGUUCUAAACUUUCGACCUGAGCUCAGGCAAGGCUACCCGCUGAACUUAAGCAUAUCAAUAAGCGGAGGA